rnacentral:rRNA from 1 species
UACGUAGGGUGCAAGCGUUGUCCGGAAUUAUUGGGCGUAAAGAGCUCGUAGGCGGUCUGUUGCGUCGGCUGUGAAAACCCGGGGCUCAACUCCGGGCCUGCAGCCGAUACGGGCAGACUAGAGUUCGGCAGGGGAGACUGGAAUUCCUGGUGUAGCGGUGAAAUGCGCAGAUAUCAGGAGGAACACCGGUGGCGAAGGCGGGUCUCUGGGCCGAUACUGACGCUGAGGAGCGAAAGCGUGGGAGCAAACAGG